AUGCUUGAUUUGGCAGCACAUAUAUUAAAAUUGGAACCAUACAGAGAAGAUUAGCAUGGCCCCUGUUCAAGGAAGACACACAAAUUCGUGAAGCAUUCCAUGUUUUU